rnacentral:rRNA from 1 species
UACGUAGGGCGCAAGCGUUUAUCCGGAAUUAUUGGGCGUAAAGAGCUCGUAGGCGGUUUGUCGCGUCUGCCGUGAAAGUCCGGGGCUCAACUCCGGAUCUGCGGUGGGUACGGGCAGACUAGAGUGAUGUAGGGGAGACUGGAAUUCCUGGUGUAGCGGUGAAAUGCGCAGAUAUCAGGAGGAACACCGAUGGCGAAGGCGGAUCUCUGGGCCAUUACUGACGCUGAGGAGCGAAAGCGUGGGGGAGCGAACAGG